UAACGCAUUAAGUGUACCGCCUGGGGAGUACGGUCGCAAGAUUAAAACUCAAAGGAAUAGACGGGGACCCGCACAAGCGGUGGAGCAUGUGGUUUAAUUCGAAGAUACGCGAAGAACCUUACCUGGGCUUGAUAUCCUAAGAACCUUUUAGAGAUAAGAGGGUGCUAGCUUGCUAGAACUUAGAGACAGGUGCUGCACGGCUGUCGUCAGCUCGUGUCGUGAGAUGUUGGGUUAAGUCCCGCAACGAGCGCAACCCACGUAUUUAGUUGCUAACGGUUCGGCCGAGCACUCUAAAUAGACUGCCUUCGUAAGGAGGAGGAAGGUGUGGACGACGUCAAGUCAUCAUGGCCCUUAUGCCCAGGGCGACACACGUGCUACAAUGGCAUAUACAAUGAGACGCAAUACCGCGAGGUGGAGCAAAUCUAUAAAAUAUGUCCCAGUUCGGAUUGUUCUCUGCAACUCGAGAGCAUGAAGCCGGAAUCGCUAGUAAUCGUAGAUCAGCCAUGCUACGGUGAAUACGUUCCCGGGUCUUGUACUCACCGCCCGUCACACCAUGGGAGUUGAUUUCACUCGAAGCCGGAAUACUAAACUAGUUACCGUCCACAGUGGAAUCAGCGACUGGGGUGAAGUCGUAACAAGGUAACCGUAGGAGAACCUGCGGUUGGAUCACCUCCUUU
rnacentral:rRNA from 2 species